rnacentral:lncRNA from 1 species
CUUUUUUAUUUUUCUGAGCUCUAAUUACAGAUUUAAUUUUCUUACAGUGUACUGCAUAAGACAUUAGGAUCUGUCCUGAGUCCCAAGCACCAGGUUUAUUUGUUCUGCAACUUCACAAUUCAGGGAAGGACAACUUCUUUGAUAGGAAUUCUCCUCCUUCCCCCAUCUCCAAGAGUCAUCAGAACCAGUGCCUGAAAAAGACAGCUGAGUAAAGCUGUCUUCAUCUUCGCUGACCUAAAGAGCUAAAUCUCCGAGUAUAUGCAGUGUAUUCAGAGCUCUGAAGAAUUACUUUGCUCUGGAUAGACUUCUAAUUUAAGUGGAUGGUAACUACAGGAAAAAAAAUGUGGAAGUCUCAUCCUCAUAAUCUUGUUUUCACAUCCAGUAACCUCUGGACGUAACUCUAACAUUACCCUCAACAAAAAAGAAGAAAGAGAAAGAGAAAGUAUGUGUAUAUUCUGUAUAUUACUGUGAUUUGUGCUGACUAUAUGCAUAUAAAUGUAAUCAAAAUACAUGUAAAAUAUGUGUGAAUGUUUGUGUUUUAAGUGAACUAAAGGAUGUGUUAUUUUGUUUCAGUAAAGAGACUGAAUUUGGAAA